CCUACGGGCGGCAGCAGUGGGGAAUAUUGCGCAAUGGGCGAAAGCCUGACGCAGCGACGCCGCGUGAGGGAUGAAGGUCUUCGGAUCGUAAACCUCUGUCAGCAGGGAAGAACGGUCACUGUGCUAAUCAGCAGUGAAUUGACGGUACCUGCAAAGGAAGCAUCGGCUAACUCCGUGCCAGCAGCCGCGGUAAUACGGAGGGUGCGAGCGUUAAUAGGAAUUACUGGGCGUAAAGCGCUCGUAGGCGGUAUGUCAAGUCAAGGGUGAAAGCCCCGCGCUCAACGGGGGAACUGCCUUUGAUACUGGCAAACUGGAGUGUGUGAGAGGAUAGUGGAAUUCCAGGUGUAGGAGUGAAAUCCGUAGAUAUCUGGAGGAACAUCAGUGGCGAAGGCGACUAUCUGGCACAUAACUGACGCUGAGGAGCGAAAGCGUGGGUAGCAAACAGGAUUAGAUACCCGAGUAGUC
rnacentral:rRNA from 1 species